CGGUGCUGCGCGGGCGCGUUGGUUCAAACGCGAUGGCGGCUGAGGCGGCUUAGGGUUGAGGGGGAGGGAUCUCUGCCUGGCCCCUUCUCUCUCUCGCUACUGCUUUGGCAGGAUGUCUGCGCACAGGAGAGACCCCGGCACCGCGGCGGCCGGCGGACAAGCGCCUGUAGCUAAGCGGAAAGGAGGAAGAACGGUGCAGUCUCGUUACCUGCAGUACGACAAGAAGAACACCGAGAAGGGUGCUUCAGCAAGUUCCUCUUCAUUGUGUGCUGCCCCACCAUCUUCUGCAGCUAAACCAAAAUCAAUUCUUUCUCAGAAACAUGAAACUUCUGUUGGUGUUGGCUAUAGCUUAAGUCAGAGUAUCUUUGAGAAUGGUGACUUGCAGUCCACCUUAUUAGAUGAAGAAAAAAUUAAAAGACCGGACCUUGAUCUCUCAGCUAUUAAUGAUAAAACUGUCCACAAGAAGAGUGAUUGUUCAGAAUCAGCUGAAGAAGGAGAUGCAUGGACACAGACAGAGAAAACUGGAGCAGAAACUGAUUCCAGUGAUUCAAUGACAGAGAUGGAAUCUGAGACACUACUUUUAACUUACUUAAGAAUAGAGACAGGAAAAAAUCUUGCCAAGCUGGAGGAAAAAGCAGAAAAAAACUUGAUGAUGUUGUCUGAAGAAAAGCAGAGACAACAGGAGAAGCUCUUGGAGUUGAAACGUGAAAUCCUGUUUAAAGAGAGAGAGCAGAAGCUCAGUGAAGCAUUAGACAAACAGAUUGAAGUGCUGUCUCCCCUCAUUCCUGUCUGUGAACAGUUUCAAAAGCAAUAUAAAAGCUUUGCAGCUUCCCUGGAUGCCACUAGACAUGAAUUACCCAUAAAGAACAUUCACAUAGAAGGAGAUAAGCAAGCAUAUCUUGAUGAACUGGGAAAGCAAUUAAAGAUCACACAGGAGCUUCUGACAGAAAUUAUGCCAAGACACUCAGAAGACUGUGCAAAAGCACUUACUGCCCUGAAAGAGCUUAAAGAAGUGUCUCAGAAACUGGAUAAAGAGCUUCAAAGGAGCUUCAGAGAAGUGCAGAACCUGUCGUUUGAAGUCAGUAAAGAAGUUUCUCUGCAUAACCAAAGUGCAUGUGAAGAGAAGCACGGGCUAGAUGUUGUGAAACGCUGGUAUUUCAACUAAGUUUCUGUAUAGUUUUACUGCUGGGCUAAUGAGAACUUAUUGGAUUACUGCAGUCUUCCCUGCCUCAGAGUAAAUACCACUUUGUUGGAGAUCCGGAAAUUCAUCCUGAAUGUGAUAAACAAACUGCUGACUGGGCUGGGACUGCCAGGACAUGAAAAGAGUUCCAGAGUGGCAGAAGAUCUAAUAGCUCUGAAAUGCACCACUGAACCACACCAAUUAAGAACAUUUCCAGUGAUUAAGUGAGCGUUCCUGCUCAACUCAGGAAUGAUUUUGGGUUGUUUCUUCUACUGCAUUUGUGUGUGGCCUGCAAAGCAAACACAAGAGAUACCUGUUUUCCUGGAAGGAGGAUCAGUCUGGUUUCCAGCACUGUGGACUGAUGCAUUCUCUGUCAAGCCUUUAUCCUGGGGAACUUCCAAGAGUGUGGCAAAGCCUGGGACAUUUGUUUUGCAGUUAUCGGUUUCUGUAUUUGCUAUCUCUGUUUGGCUAUCCCAGAAACACAAAGGGAGAACUAAACUGGGAGUUAAAGAAUGGAUGUGGCUUUUUUACUAUAAAAAUUAAUUAAGGCUUUAUUCUUGUCUGGUGCUAUGUAAUGACUGAGACAAACAUUUUUCCAUUGGGGAGUGAAGACAAAUGAUUCUGGAAACUGAGGACUUGUUCUUUAUUUCUCGCCCACCUUCUACUGAAAUCUAGUGCUUACAGGACUUAACACAAAGCUGAAUAAGUAAUAACCUUGGGUUUAGUACAGUAUCUUUUCUGUGCACAAUUUACAUAUAUAGUCUCAAAAUCUUUAAAUAAGUAUUACCUUUUAUAGAUCUGAUCUGAUCAUCUGUGUCACAGGUUGGUGACAGCAGUUAUGCUGAGGCAAUUAACAAGGGCUAAUUAUUAAUAGGGUGGUCCUACCACUUGAUUCUUGGGAGUAAUGUCACUGAUUUGAAUUUUGCAGUUGGAGGGGGGAUCCAAAAGGAUUCACAGCACUCAAAAAUUAACAUUUUUUGUUUGACAAAUAUCUGUCUGAUAAUUUUCACAUUGCACAGUUUAUUUAUGAGGUAGAUGGGACAUCGGGGCGAUAAUUUCUUCUGUAGAGAAGUGAUAAGAUUGUACAAGGGGUCAGGAUGUAAAUUAGAUCUAGUCAGAACCAAUAUAGGUGUAUUUGCACCUUCUUCUCUUAACUGCUGUCCCUCUCUCACCUUUCUGACACCAGUAUGGCCCCACAUGUUUUCAAGUGCCUGAGAUUCCUCAAACUUCAUGAGGAGCAGAAUUACACAUUCAGUAAACGAAUAAAAAUCCUAGCUAUGCGCAGUGGGUGAAUAUGACCCAUGGAUCUGACUGAUGAAUAGUUUUUAUACAUGAGCAGUUCUUACAGCCUUUAAACUCCUUAACCAUUCCCAGAUGUGGGUUGCAGGCGGCUGCUGGAAUUCCAACACCUGUUGCAUCACACUGAAUGGGAUUCAUUUUGGCAAGCACAGAAAAUUCCAUUUCAGUAAGUAAAUAGUUUGAAAUUAUAUCUAAAGCCUCCUUUUUUUUUUUCAGACGAAGCUGAUUCCAGCCGUAUUUACAGGAUUGCACAUACUUUCAUAAUUAGAAGAUGGUUUGCUUUAAAGGUUGUAAUUGCCUGAGAUUUCUUGUACUCAGUAAAUGUCAAACAGAAAUUCUUCAGUUUAGAAGAAAUCUCACCUUUAAAAAAGUUAGUUAUUCCAAAGGGCUCUAUUCCACAUAAGGGGAAUUUCUAGCUGUGCUUUUUGAAAUGUAGAAAUACACAUUUGUGUAUUAUUCUGAAGAUGAUGGAGCUCCAUUUUAGAGCUACACUUUGCUCCAUUUAUCAAUUCAUUGCUGAAUCCUGUUGCUUCUUUCGAGUCCUUACCCAGAGCUUUCUCAAAGAUGAAAUGUGGGUGACAGGAUGGGUGUUCAGUGGCACUUGGUGAUUUUUUUGGUACAUAUCCUACAGAUCUCAAGUAUGAGUCUGUAAUGAACCAUUUGUGGUUUGCUCUGUAAAAGUAUGUGUAGAGAUAAUUAUUUUUUCGAAAGCAUGAUGAUGUUCCAGCCCAAACAUACCUGAUCUCUGCAGAGCUUCUAUCAAAGUCAAUAGUUUGGUUGGUGAGAUAUUGUACUUUAGUUUGAGGCUGCCAUACCGUGAGAACAGCAGAGGUGCUUCAUUUUAAUUUUUUACCUCCUUUAAUAUGAUGAAUAUGAUGAAGCUGAAAAAGAAUUUGGAAUUAGCAGAUUUUGCUUUUUCUUUAGUUUGUCUCAAAAACCCCGAACAAACAAACAAACAAAAAGCCAAACCCAAAACAUUCCCCCUUUAAUGUACUUUCUAAUAAGUUCCUUCUCACAGUACAUGGUUUCCUUGGGAAGUGAUCCCUGUGGUUCUAGAGUCUAGUCUUGUCUAAUUUGUCAAAAUGUGUUUGUUCUUCUUCUAGAUUUGUUCUGCCUCUCUACAAAAAUAAGGCAGGGCUGAUUUAGGUUAGAUUUAAGUAGGAAAAUGUAACCAUGUCUGGCAGUGUUAUCCACUAUUGAAGAUAAUCUGAAUUUAUCAAAAACCUACUGAGUUAAUGAUUUUAUUUUAAAGAGAAGACAUAUUAAAGUAAGUUCCAAAUAAGAUAAAAAUUUAGGCACCAUUUAUUUAUCUCCUGGUUAAGGACCGAUCAGCCUCUGAGUCCUGUUACUGAAAUUGUCCGGGAAUCCUUGUUCCUUUUGAUGACUUUGUGCUUUUAGGGAAUGGAUUGCCUUGCAGAAAAUGUGGUAGCUAGGAAUGACAGUGCUGAAAUAUAUGGUAGCUGAAAUUAUUUCAAGAUGGAGAAAAAUAACAGCAGUUUUAGCAACUUGCUCUUUUUCUUGUCAGAAGCCAGAAGGAAGGGACUUUGGGAAACUCUUGAGCUGACUUGGAUACAAAUGUGUAUUUUUGCUAAAUAAAAUGCUGUGAUUUUGAGAAGAAAUGAAACUGAGGGUCAAAUAUUGGAGCCAACCUCGAAUAAAAGGUUAUAAUUGUU